UCCCUUUCAAAUGUAAUCCUGUAC
rnacentral:piRNA from 1 species